CCCACCAUUGCUAUAGCCCACCCGUUUUUUGGCCAUUUUUCCGCUGGUGUUGUUUUGGCACCACGACCUUCAGGCGCUUAUUUUUGGGCGCAGCUUUGCCCGCGGCUUAUUUUUGGCACCCCGAGGCCCCUCGCAAAGUCUCGCCGCAUUCCGAGUCCGGCGGACGAACUUCGCCCGCGCCCCCCACCAAGGCUAUAGCCCACCCGUUUUUUGGCCAUUUUUCCACUGGGGGGUUUUGGCACCACGACCUUCGGGCGCUUAUUUUUGGGCGCGGCUUUGCCCGCGGCUUAUUUUUGGCACCCCGAGGCCCCUCGCAAAGUCUCGCCGCAUUCCGAGUCCGGCGGACGAACUUCGCCCGCGCCCCCCACCAAGGCUAUAGCCCACCCGUUUUUUGGCCAUUUUUCCGCUGGGGGGUUUUGGCACCACCACCUUCGGGCGCUUAUUUUUGGGCGCGGCUUUGCCCGNNNNNNNNNNNNNNNNNNNNNNNNNNNNNNNNNNNNNNNNNNNNNNNNNNNNNNNNNNNNNNNNNNNNNNNNNNNNNNNNNNNNNNNNNNNNNNNNNNNNNCCGUUUUUUGGCCAUUUUUCCGCUGGGGGGUUUUGGCACCACGACCUUCGGGCGCUUAUUUUUGGGCGCGGCUUUGUCCGCGGCUUAUUUUUGGCACCGCGAGGCCCCUCGCAAAGUCUCGCCGCAUUCCGAGUCCGGCGGACGAACUUCGCCCGCGCCCCCCACCAAGGCUAUAGCCCACCCGUUUUUUGGCCAUUUUUCCGCUGGUGGGUUUUGGCGCCACGACCUUCGGGCUCUUAUUUUUGGGCGUGGAUUUGCCCGGGGCUUUGCCCGCGGCUUAUUUUUGGCACCCCGAGGCCCCUCGCAAAGUCUCGCCGCAUUCCGAGUCCGGCGGACGAACUUCGCCCGCGUCGCCCACCAAGGCUAUAGCCCACCCGUUUUUUGGCCAUUUUUCCACUGGGGGGUUUUGGCACCACGACCUUCGGGCGGUUAUUUUUGGGGGCGGCUUUGCCCGCGGCUUAGUUUUGGCACCCCGAGGCCCCUCGCAAAGUCUCGCCGCAUUCCGAGUCCGGCGGACGAACUUCGCCCGCGCCCCCCACCAAGGCUAUAGCCCACCCGUUUUUUGGCCAUUUUUCCGCUGGGGAGGUUUUGGCACCACCACCUUCGGGCGCUUAUUUUUAGGCACGGCUUUGCCCGCGGCUUAUUUUGGUACCGCGAGGCCCCUGGCAAAGUCUCGCCGCAUUCCGAGUCCUGCGACGAACUUCGCCCCGCCGCCCCCCACCAAGCUAUAGCCCACCCGUUUUUUGGCCAUUUUUCCGCUGGGGGGUUUUGGCACCACGACCUUCGGGCGCUUAUUUUUGGGCGCGGCUUCGCCCGCGGCUUAUUUUUGGAACCCCGAGGCCCCUCGCAAAGUCUCGCCGCAUUCCGAGUCCGGCGGACGAACUUCGCCCGCGUCCCCCACCAAGGCUAUAGCCCACCCGUUUUUUGGCCAUUUUUCCGCUGGGGGGUUUUGGCACCACGACCUUCGCGCGGUUAUUUUUGGGCGCGGCUUUGCCCGCGGCUUAUUUUUGGCACCGCGAGGCCCCUCGCAAAGUCUCGCCGCAUUCCGAGUCCGGCGGACGAACUUCGCCCGCGCCCCCCACCAAGGGUAUAGCCCAUCCGUUUUUUGGCCAUUUUUCCGCUGGGGGGUUUUGGCACCACGACCUUCGGGCGCUUAUUUUUGGGCGCGGCUUUCCCCGCGGCUUAUUUUUGGCACCCCGAGGCCCCUCGCAAAGUCUCGCCGCAUUCCGAGUCCGGCGGACGAACUUCACCCGCGCCCCCCACCAAGGCUAUAGCCCUCCUGUUUUUGGCCAUUUUUCCGCUGGGGGGUUUUGGAACCACAACUUUCGGGCGCUUAUUUUUGGGCACGGCUUUGCCCGCGGCUUAUUUUUGGCACCCCGAGGCCCCUCGUAAAGUCUCGCCGCAUUCCGAGUCCGGCGGACGUACUUCGCCCGCGCCCCCCACCAAGGCUAUAGCCCACCCGUUUUUUGGCCAUUUUUCCGCUCGGGGGUUUUGGCACCACGACCUUCGGGCGCUUAUUUUUGGGCGCGGCUUUCCCCGCGGCUUAUUUUUGGCACCCCGAGGCCCCUCGCAAAGUCUCGCCGCAUUCCGAGUCCGGCGGACGAACUUCGCCCGCGCCCCCCACCAAGGCUAUAGCCCACCCGUUUUUUGGCCAGUUUUCCGCUGGGGGGUUUUGGCGCCACGACCUUCGGGCGCUUAUUUUUGGGCGUGGUUUUGGGCGCGGCUUUGCCCGCGGCUUAUUUUUGGCACCCCGAGGCCCCUCGCAAAGUCUCGCCGCAUUCCGAGUCCGGCGGACGAACUUCGCCCGCGUCCCCCACCAAGGCUAUAGCCCACCCGUUUUUUGGCCAUUUUUCCGCUGGGGGGUUUUGGCACCACGACCUUCGCGCGGUUAUUUUUGGGGGCGGCUUUGCCCGCGGCUUAUUUUUGGCACCGCGAGGCCCCUCGCAAAGUCUCGCCGCAUUCCGAGUCCGGCGGACGAACUUCGCCCGCGCCCCCCACCAAGGGUAUAGCCCAUCCGUUUUUUGGCCAUUUUUCCGCUGGGGGGUUUUGGCACCACGACCUUCGGGCGCUUAUUUUUGGGCGCGGCUUUCCCCGCGGCUUAUUUUUGGCACCCCGAGGCCCCUCGCAAAGUCUCGCCGCAUUCCGAGUCCGGCGGACGAACUUCACCCGCGCCCCCCACCAAGGCUAUAGCCCACCCGUUUUUUGGCCAUUUUUCCGCUGGGGGGUUUUGGAACCACAACUU
rnacentral:lncRNA from 1 species